rnacentral:tRNA from 1 species
GCCUGGGUGGCUCAGUUGUUGAGCAUCCGACUUCAGCUCAGAUCAUGAUCUCAUGGUUCAUGGGUUCAAGUCCCACGUCAGGCU